rnacentral:lncRNA from 1 species
UGGGAGUAGCUCUGCAGGUCGUACCCGAACGACCUCACCGCGGCCCGACGCCUCGGCCGCGCCGCUCCUCUCCUCCAUGUGGACCUCAUCAGUCUCGACAGCAGCUGCUUCACUGCCGCCGUCGACCACCUUCCGGCUGCUGGCGGCCGGCCGGUGUGCAGGCCCAGCAGAGACGCCAUGACCCUACGACGAACUUUUCAUGAUUUCAUCUACCCCUACGACGAAUUUCUACGUCCUGCAAAGCGCCGUCAGCAAAGAAAAAGGAUUUACUUCAAAAAAGAAAAAGAAAAAGGAAAAAGGAAGCGCACUAACGUCAAAGCAAAAUCUCUAGAUGAGAGCAAGCAAGCUGCUAUUUGCAUGCAUGUGACGGUGGAGUCAUCACCUGAUCGGAUGAUCGACAGAUCACACGAAAAGGACGGCCGUUGGUGAUGGCGGUAUGGGGAAUUGGGGAUAAUCAUCCGAGUCAAUCAUCCGAGUCAUCGUGGUCCAUCUAUGAGUUGGCCGUUUGGGCUUUUGAGCUUUUGCCUUCCCGCAUACGUGAGAUUUUGCUGAUGGCGCUACCUUUUUGCUUGAGUUGAAAUCUAGCUUUAACUUCGCCACAAAGAAAAAUUAUUCUGAGUGAUUUGAUACAAACUAUAUAUAUUUUUUUGGAAUCAUCAGAUUCAAAAUUAAAGUUCCCAUAGGAUUCCUUCUCCACUUUUGUUUAUAAAGACAGCCUUACAAUGCAUGAAACAUGAGAAAAAUACAAGUGAAGAUUCUUUCAGUCAAAUAAAUCGACAAAAAAGCGAAUACCUGUCAGGCUAACCGUACUCGUACGCGAACAUGCAUGUCACGCCAGCUAAAAAGAAUCACAACUUGGUGUUUCUACACUAGCGCUGAGAGGUUGCAAACACUCACAGAUCGAUCACGUGAAACACAUUUGGUUAAUUCGGUUGAUGACAUUCACGUUUAGUUUCUUGUGACUUGUGAGCUGAAGAACAUGUGCCUGGCCUCCCGGCCAUCUAGUUUCAGCGACUUUCACCUAUCUCCCAAAAACCUAAAAGCAGCCACAGAUAGUUUGGCGGGUAGGUGAACAAUUUGCCUACAGGUUUGGCACAUUCUUAAGCCAGGAAUCAGUUUCCAACAGCUGACAAAGAAGCUCAUUCUGCGUGCUGACUGAUGGCAGCAAAUUUACAGUAGCCAGCUACAAAGAAGAAAAGCGAGUAGUCAUUUACAGUAACUGGACGAGCCAGCUAUCUAGCUAUCUAGCUUAGCUAAUGACCGAGAAGCACUGAGCUAGCUACACACGGCGGAAUCACUGAAAGCGGUGCAGUGGCCGGAGGAGGCGAGGCCGUCGUCGAAGUUCUGGGAGUAGCUCUGCAGGUCGUACCCGAACUUCACUGCAGGCCGCCUCGGCCGCCCCGCGCUUCUCCUCCAUGUGGACCUCAGCCUCGACAGCAGCUGCUUCGCCGCCGCCGAGGCCACCGACGACCGCCCGCCGCUCCUGCCGUCGACCCUUCUCCGGCUGCCGCCGGUGUACAGGCCCAGCCGAGACGCCAUGAUCCUCUCUCGAUCGCUCGUAGUAGCGCUGUCACGACUGAAAUCUCACAGCUGAGCUAAUAAUAAUUAGGCACCAGGACGCUCUUGACUCCUGUCUCACAGGCGCGUGCAGCUUCUCAGAGACCUUUGCCUGGAUGAUCGAUGCCUGCCGUGCCGCUGCUUUUAUAGGCUGCGACCGGAUCGGAAUGAAUCGGAUAGGGUUCCUGCUGUCGAGGUCCCCGGCCGGGCCCACCGGCACGCACGCACUGAGUCACUAACGCACAGGGCCACGACGGCAUCCACCAGGAUGGAUUCUCGAUCGGCUGGGCAAAAGCCGAUUUCAGGCAUCUUUUACGGCGUCGCCUUCGGUCAGAAAAGAAAAGAAAGGUGACCACCAACAACCAACCUAUCGAGCUGAAUUCGGAUAUGCUGCCCAGCCCAGCCCAGUCAUCAACUCAUCAUGCGUAGGAUCGAUGAACAUGGGAGCAGAGAAGGUUCAGAGGUUCAUGAUUUCAUCUACCCCUACAAGGCUAAAACGAAUUUUGCAAAGCGCCGUCGUCAGAAAAGAGAAAGCAAGCGCACUAACGUCAAAGCAAAAAUCUCUAGCUGAGAGAGGAAGCUGCUAUUUGCGUGCAUGUGAUGGUGUAGUCAUCGCCUGAUCGGAUGAUGGGCAGAUCACGCGAAAAGGACGGUCGUUGGUGGUGGCGAUAUGGGGAUCGGGGUCCUACAAAUCAUCCGAUCCGAGUCAUCGUGGUCCAAGUAUGACUUGGCCGUUUUGGCUUUUGCCCCCAUCCGAUCUCGAGAUUUUGCUGAUGGCGCUCCCUUUUGCUUGUGUUUAGAUCGAUCAGUAGCUUUAACUUCGCUACUAAGAAAAAUUUGGAGUGAUUUGAUACAAACUAUUCCUUCUUCUUCUUUGGAAUCAGAAUCAAAAGUUCUCAUAGCAGGAUGCAGGAAUGUAAAAACGUUGAGAGAAUCUAGUAGCAAAAACACAAGUUACGGUACUGAGAAACAUGAGAAGAAUUGAAGUUUCUACACUUGCUGAUGCAAACGUACACUCACAGCUCGACGGUUGCACCGGGACCUAGGAUCGAUCACGUGAAAAACAUUCGGUUCGGUUCACGUACGUUUACCUCCCAAGAAAUCCACAAGCAGACGCAGAUACUUUGGCCGGCGGGGAAGAUGAACAACUUGCAUUGGCUGCAGGUGCGGCACAUGCGUAGUAACUAGUAGUAAGCCAGAAAUCAUAACAAAACCACAUGCAGACAGAAGCGACCAUUCCUUUCCAAGUUUGCAAACCCAGAAGCUGAACAACAAACAAAGCACCAACACAAUCACUUUGUGUUUUGCACACAUAAUUACAAAACCAUUCUGCGUGUUGACUGAUGGUGGAUUUACAUUAUCUAACUACUCCGUACAAAGAAGAGAAGCGAGUCAAUUACAGGAACUGCAUGCCGAACUGGAUGUGGCCGCUAUCUAAUCACCGGCCGGGAAUACAAUCACUGAGCGAGCUAGUUACACGGGAUCACUGAAAGCAUGUGGCAGGAGGAGCCGAGGCCAUCGUCGAAGUUUUGGGAGUAGCUGUGCAGGUCGUACCCGAACGACCUCACCGCGGCCCGCCUCGGCCGUGCCGUGCUUCUCUGCCUCCACGUGGACCGCAGCCUCGACAACAGCUGCUUCGCCGCCGCCGCCGCCGCCGACCGCCGGCAGUGGCCCCUCCUCCGGUUGCCGCCGGUGUACGCGCCCAGCUGAGACGCCAUCCUGUCCCGAUCGCUCACAGCUUAGAUGAGCCGCAGUAGCACGCUUGUGUGCCUCGUGUCUGAACUCUAUGCCUCUCUGACCCUGCAGCUGCGAACUUCUGAAUCACACCUUUGUCUCCGCUGGACGACGGCUGCCGUGCUGCGUAUUUUAUAAGCUCGAGUGCUCGACGGACCGAUUGGAUGGGAAUCCGAUGCAUUGGGCCGGUUCCUUCGUUACCAGAGAGCCGACGACGAGCCAACGUCGCCGGCCGGGCCCACUGACGCUCACGCACCGAGUCACUCACGUACGGGUACAGCCAGGGCGCCGGUGGCAUCCACUACGCGAGUCGGAUUCCCGAUCCGAAUGGUUUUCCAGGCAAAAAAAGCCGAUUCCGGGGGGCAUCUUUUUUGGGCGUCGCCCGCCAUCAGCCAGAAAAGAGGCUUGCUUGGCGACAGCCGGCAAAUGGCGACGGGGUGUGGGCGUGUGGCGUAACGGGAGGUCGGCUCCUCCGUGUCCUGCCCGAGGGAUCAUGUCCGAAACGAAAACCGACCGGCAGUUGGGCACGGCCUGUUCCAUCCAUGUGUGGAGCUGUAGGCAGGCCAACGAGGCCAUGCGCACGCAAGUAGCGUGCGCGAACGUGUGGAAUGUCACACAUGCACAAUGCGUUCGCCCGCAUGCAUAAAUAGCGCCGAUCGAUCAUGGCAUCUCAGGGUCCUCGUGAUCUGAUUUUUCCUUAAAAUUUGCUAGACUAAAUUAGAAUGCCCUUUACCACCCUAGGAAUGCGAUGCCACUGCUGCAGAUCGGCUGCACAAUUUGUUUUCCUUAAGUCAGCUGAUAGCUGAAAGCUUUAUAAUAAGAGAAUAGCUGCGUGCAUUUUUGCAGAGGCUGGAGAUACAUCUCUAUUUUCUAAAAGAAAAUCUAUGUUGUGCAUAAUACUUAUAUGUGCUUAGGAGGUGAAAACAUGGUCUUGUCCAGUCAUCAUUCGUUGAAUCGAGAUGGGAACAGACAACGUGUCAUCUACCGAAUACAACGGAUUUCUUCACCCCGCAAAUUAAAGUGUCACCAGUCUGAUCAAAUGAUUGAUAGCUGGGAGCGAGCCAGGAAGCUUCGAGUCAUCCGUUUGAUGCGACAUUUAUAUUGAAACCACAACAGUAGUAUCACAAACGGCACGUAUAUAAAGUUUUAAGAUGUCAUAACAUAAUCUUCAACACAUAUUCUACUAAAACAAGAACUAAUCAUGUCUAGGCUUUCUAGGUGGCCUAGGCAAGUAUGUAGCCCGAUUCUUGCUAGCUUGAAAUGUCUUCCUGAUUUCAUCUCCAUCAAUGCCUCUAAAAAUUUCCUUCUCAAUGUAGCACAAUAUCAAGCUACUAAGCCACUCAUCGUUCAUUCUAUUCCGUAGAUCUGUCUUGAUUAUAUUCAUAGCCGAAAAAGCUCUUUCAACAGAUGCUGUUGCUACUGGUAGAAGCAAUGCUAACUUAAUGUGCCGAAAGACCAAUGGAAAAGCAAUAUCUCUUUCAUGUUUAACCAUUUUUAUAGCCAAACUUCCAAAAUCAGGACAAUCUUUGAAUAAAUACUCUUUGCAUAUGUAUGACAAAGGUCUCAAGUUGAUCUCUUAUAUUAGAACGCUCAAUGUCAGUGAAAUCUUGAUCAUAUAUUUCAGUCAAUCGAGCAAUCUUUUCUAUAUCAAACUUAGCAAAAGAAUUUCUUGGAUCAAGACAAGCGAAGGAAACAAGCAACUCUGAUGAUACCUCAUUGAAGCGAUGGUCCAUCUCUGUCAUAAUAGCAUCAAGAGCAGCCAGGAAAGUAUCAACACAAUAAUGAUGUUCUUGAGUGAUUAAGUUACCAUCUAGCCUUGACCGACCCCAUCUAGGUAUUGUCUCAUCCAUGUUUGGCACUGGAAUCAUCUUAUCAUUGCAAAAUGAUAUGACUUCAUCAAGUAAUGGCUGCCAGCCUUCAUUUCUCAAAGUGACCAGCCGUGUUUCACAUCAAUAAGCAAUGACAAGGCCUGAACAAUAUUUUGAUCCUUCCGUUGCAGCAAGAGAGACAACUCAUUAGUAAUGCGAAGCACUUUCAACAUGAACUUCAUAUUCAAAACAAAAGAGAAGCUCUCCAUUUUGCGCACCAAACCACCUGCUCGACUAGUAUUACGCUCAUCCUCAUGAACCAUUGACAGCACCUUGACAACAGAAUUCCACAUUGACUCAAUACGAGCUAAUGUUGUUAAAUGAGAACCUCAUCUUGUACUUUGAUGCUUCCCCUUUCCUGAAAAGAUUUCACCACUUUCCAAUCUUUCCAAAAUUUCUUCUCGAUGCUUUGCGAUUAGCUUAUCUUUUCUUUUACAUGAUGAACUUGCACUAGUCACAAUUAAGCUCACAUAGUUGAAGAAAUCAUCAAAGGAUGAACAACUAGAUGUAACAGAAACAAUGACUAGUUGCAAUUGGUGGGCAAAGCAGUGAACAUAAAAAGCAUAUGGGUUCUCAUCACGAAUUAGUUUUUGCAAACCAUUGAAUUCACCUCUCGUAUUUGAUGCUCCAUCGUAUCCUUGUCCCCGUAGUCUACCAAUAGAUAAUCCAUAAUUGGCAAGCAUUUGAAGCAAAGACUUCUUUAGUGAUUUUGAUGUUGUGUCCUCAACAUGCUUCGGACCCAAAAACCUUUCCACAACCAUUCCUUAAUUGUUCACAAAUCUGCAAAAAAAAUGAUAAUACUAGUAUUAAUAAACAAGUAUAGCACAGAUGAAUAAUGAAUCUUUCUGAUUUACUCAUGUAACAAACUAACCUUACAAUAACAGCCAUUUGCUCUGCUAUUGAGACAUCACGAGAUUCAUCAAUGAGAACGGAAAAAAGAACGGUAAUGCUUCUUCUGCAUCAGCAACCACAGAUUGAACCUGCUCUUGAUCUUGAACCACACGGUCAACACCUUCAGAUUCCAAAGCAGCCACAUUUUGACUUUCCCUAGUACUUGGGCGGAGGAACCAGAACCAGAGCCAACACUCAAAUUCGAAAAGAAGCUCUUCAAAUCUACAGAAAUCACAUUGAGCACAUGAAUAAAUGCUAAGAGUUCCAAUUCAAUUGAGAGCAGAGGAUACUUGAUUUUACCCCUUGUUACCAUUUUCUUCUUGCCAAUUGGAAGACAGGGGCGAUUUGGGGCGCCUCGCCCUCGCCCAACGCCGACGCCGACCGGGACCAUGCUCUGCUGCUCAUCAUCAGGAGCUUCCGGUGCCGCCCCUCUUCCACGGCCGCGCAUUUUCCAUCUCCAUUUCUUUUGAGAAUCUAGCUAGUAUACGUCAUCUGUGCAUCCUCUGUUGAUAUAACGGCUAGAACCAUUUUCGCCUAUUAUAAUCGUAAGAGAAAAGUGAAUGCCUUACCGGUCUGUUAUUCAACAAUUCUUCUGAGCACGUCACGUCAGAUAAAAAGAAACGGAAACUAGAGUGUCCGAUGCUGUGUUGAAUGUUUGUACGAUCGAUAACGUAAAACACAUGCACAUCGGCCGUACUUUUCCUCUGUGCUGAAGAACCAGAGCACGGCCAGUACUGUGCGGCCAUCUUCUAAUUUCAGUGUUUAAUCUAGUGGCUUUGACAGCUUAUUAUUAACUGAUCUCCCAAAAAAAUCUACAAGAGGCGCAGAUAGUUUGGGAGAUGAGCAAACCACAAAUCAGAACAGAGAACAGAAGAUUUCAGGAUGAGAGGUUAGACAUAAUCUAUUCCAUUCCAAAGCUUUCAACAGCCGAACAAAGCAUAAUUUCUGCUGAUGGAUGGCAGGUAGGUUUAGUCUUGCACACACAUGCAGUAUAUACACAGAAGAAGCGAGUAGUGAUCCUGUACAAAGGCUGGACGAGCUAGCUUCCUAAUCGCCAUUGGAGAUCAGCUAAUAUUCUCCAGGUGAGUACUAGGCACAAUCAUUUACACACAUAACUAGAGAAGAAAGUGAAGGGAUAAUAGCAGCUCUAGCUACAACCGGCGGCGGUCGGAGGAGGCGAGGCCGUCGUCGAAGUUCUGAGAGUAGCUCUGCAGGUCGUACCCGAAGCUCACCGCGGCCCGACGCCUCGGCCGCGCGGCGCGUCUCCUCCUCCACGUGGACCUCAGCCUCGACAGCAGCUGCUUCACCGCCGCCGCCGACCGGCCGCCGCUCCUCCUCCGGCUGUUGCUGCCGCCGGUGUACAGGCCCAGCUGCAGAGACGCCAUCCUCUCCUAGCUCUCUCGAUCAGUCGAUCGCUAACACGAUCACAGUCGGAGCGUUAUGUUAUGAUCAGAACGCAGACUUGUCGCGCUCGCAAGUCGCAACUAGCUGCCCGCGGCCUCUCUGCUCGUAGCUACCUCUGCAAUGAAGCUUCUCAAGACCUUGUGCCAGAGAACGCACCCCAUGGUGCUGCUUUUAUAAGCUGGGGCAGGUGAUGUGUUCCGACACGCGUCGUCGCGGCGAGACCCGCCAGCAGCAUGGUGACGAGACAUCCACUACGGCGAUCGCCGUGUGGACGACGGUCCGGGCAAAAGCCGAUUCCAGGCAUCUUUUUCGUGCGGUCGAAAAGAAAAGGUAACCGUCGUCUAGCACGCACCAACCGCAGCACAGCAGCAUGCGUGUUUUUGUUGGUUUGGUGGUAGGCUUUCCUUACUCGGUUACUCCUUAGUGACCUGUCGAGCUAGCUAGGACGCAUCAUGCAUGAGAGAGAGGUGGCCACGGCCGUCGCCGGCCUGAACCGCUGCUAGUGAAGCGGAGGUGCGUUAUGGUCGGCGCCCUCGUGUCGUGAUGCCGAGCUAGUCUACCGUGCACGCGCGCGGGGGGCGCCGGUCGACUGGAAUGUCACCUGCAGAAUGCGUUUCCGCUGCCUGUCGCCUGCCGAUUGCCGAAUAAUCCCUGGGUGAGUUGGGCGAGGUGUUUUAUUUCAAAAAGGAAAAGUUGGCCGAGAUGUGAUGCGGCUCCAUUGUAUUGCUACUCGAGGCUACGAUUUGCCCGCGUGCACAGCAGUGCUCAACAUGACAUGUCAUCACAGCAGGCUGGGAUCUUAUCCUUGUAGAUGAAAGGCAAAUUGAAUCCAAAAGUAUAUACUCCACAACGUACACGUGUCUUAAAGCUUGGAACAUGGACACAUGGUCGUCUUUGGAUAAUCCUAAAAGAAGAUGACAUCGAGUCAUAAUCAUGCGUAGGAUUGAGGUGGGAGCGUAUUAGAAAGUGGUCUACUGACUACAACGAACUAGUGCAUCGUAAAGAAAGAGAAAGGGAACGCACUAGUGUUAAAGCAAAAAAAAAAACAUCGAGAUCAUUCGUUGAAUGGAUAUCGGGAACACAGAAAUUGUCAUGUUCCGAUGACAACGAAUUUUUACAUCCUGCAAAAGUGUAGUCGGAAAGAAAUUAAUUAAGGGGUGUUUGGCCCCUGUCACAUCAGAUGUUUGAUACUAAUUAGGAGUAUUAAACAUAGGCUAAUUACAAAACUAAUUGUACAACUCCUAGGCUAAAUCGCGAGACGAAUCUAUUAAGCCUAAUUAGUCCAUGAUUUGGCAAUGUGGCGCUACAGUAACUAUUCGCUAAUGAUGGAUUAAUUAGGCUUAAUAGAUUCGUCUCGUGAUUUAGCCUAAAGGUUCUGCUAUUAGUUUUAUAAUUAGCUCAUAUUUAGUCCUCCUAAUUAGUAUCCAAACAUCCGAUAGGUUAAAGUUUAGCCCCUACCUUCCAAACAUCCCAGCUAAAUGCACACUGAUGUCAAAGCAAUUUCGUCCUCUAGAAGGGGAGCGAGGAAGCUUCGAGUCAUCAGUCUGAUCGACGUAUUACACAAAAAGGAUCCAAGAAUUGGUGGUGGCAGCAUGGGGAUCGGUGUCGUACAGAUGAUCCGAGUCAUCGUGGUCCAAGGAUGACUGGCCAUAUUUUCGCUUUUAAACUUUUGCCAUGAUGUUAGAUUUUUGCUUGCGUGAUGCGCUCCCUUUUACACGGCUACUUCUCAGUACCUUUAACUUGGCUACAGAAAUUAAGAACAAAAUGAUUUUUCGUUUGGAAUCAGCUACAAAAGUUCCCACAGAAUUUGUCUAUUUAAGUAUUUUUCAACUCCACUUUUGAUUAGGAUUGUAAAUUUCGCCUUAUAAUGCAGCAAAAUAGUUAAAACAUGAGAAUCUAAGUAUAAAUAUUAGUCACGGUACUGCAAAACAUGAGAAAAAGGUGCAUGAUUUACUCUUUUGGUCACUUAUCGAAUACCUAUAUGUCUUGGUUUUUACAAAAUGGAACUUGUCAUGCUUCUGCAUUCUCGAUUAAUGCAGCGGCUAAGGUAAUUUUAUUUAAAUCCACUAUAUAUCCCAAAAGAAAAGCGAAUACCUGUCGGAUCAACAAAUUUUGCACGAGAACAUAUCACAUCAUCAGCUAAAAAGAAACCAAAACUAGAGUUUUAAAAUUUUGUGGCAUUCAUAAUUUCAGCGAUCUCACUGGCCACCGAAAAAUCCGCUAGAAAGCCGCAGACAGUUUGGGCCGAUGAACAACAACAAUCGGUUACAGGUUUGUGGCACAUAUCAGAACAGAGAAAGAUCUCAGAAUCAGGUUAGAAGCCAUUCCAUUCCAAGCUUCCCACAGCUGAACAAAGCAUAAUUUUGCUGAUGGAUGGCAGGUUUAGUUUAGUCUUGCAUACACAGCUGACUACACAGAAUUACAAGAAGCGAGGUGAUCCUGUACAAAUUAAAGACUGCACGAGCUAGCUAGCUAAUCAUCACUGGAAAUCGGCUAGUACUCUCCCGGUGACGAGGCACAAUCAUUUACACACAGAACUGGAGAAGAAACUGAAGGAAUAAUAGUACUGGCUCAUAGCUCUAGGUUCUAGCUACAACCGGCGGUGGUCGGAGGAGGCGAGGCCGUCGUCGAAGUUGUGGCAGUAGCUCUGCAGGUCGUACCCGAACCUCACCGCGGCCCUCCUCGGCCGCACCACGCGUCUCCUCCACGUGGACCUCAGCCUCGACAGCAGCUGCUUCGCCGCCGCCGCCGCCGACAGGCCGCCGCUCCUGGCAUGGAACCUCCUCCGGCUGCCGCCGGUGUACAGGCCCAGCUGCAGAGAUGGCAUCCUCUCUCUCGAUCGCUCACAAGUCACAAGCUAGGCACAAACUCUCUCGCAACUAGCUUCCCGGCCUCUCUGCUCGUAGCUACCUCUGCGACUGAAGCUUCUGAAGACCUUGAGCCAAAGAACGCACCCCAUGACCCCAUAUAUGGUGCUGCUUUGUAAGCUGGGGGCAGGGGAUGUGUUCCGACACGCGUCGACGUCGCGGCAAGACCCGCCAGCAGCGCGGUGACGAGGCUUCCACUACGGCGAUCGCCGGAAUGGUCUGGGCAAAAUCCGAUCUGAGGCAUCUUUUCCAGCACUGCUGUGGAAUGCCUUCGGUACCGGUCCUAAAGCCCGUUUGUACUGGUCGUG